rnacentral:SRP_RNA from 1 species
GCCAGGCGUGGUGGCGUGUGCCUGUAAUCCCAGCUACUCGGGAGGCUGAGGCAGGAGACUCGCUUGAACCCAGGAGGCGGAGGUUGCAGUGAGCCGAGAUCGGCCGCUGCACUACAGCCUGGGCGACAGAGUGAGACUCCGUCUCAA